GACGAACGCUGGCGGCGUGCUUAACACAUGCAAGUCGAACGAUGAACCACUUCGGUGGGGAUUAGUGGCGAACGGGUGAGUAACACGUGGGCAAUCUGCCCUUCACUCUGGGACAAGCCCUGGAAACGGGGUCUAAUACCGGAUAUGAGCCUGGGAGGCAUCUCCCGGGUUGUAAAGCUCCGGCGGUGAAGGAUGAGCCCGCGGCCUAUCAGCUUGUUGGUGAGGUAAUGGCUCACCAAGGCGACGACGGGUAGCCGGCCUGAGAGGGCGACCGGCCACACUGGGACUGAGACACGGCCCAGACUCCUACGGGAGGCAGCAGUGGGGAAUAUUGCACAAUGGGCGAAAGCCUGAUGCAGCGACGCCGCGUGAGGGAUGACGGCCUUCGGGUUGUAAACCUCUUUCAGCAGGGAAGAAGCGAGAGUGACGGUACCUGCAGAAGAAGCGCCGGCUAACUACGUGC
rnacentral:rRNA from 1 species